rnacentral:RNase_P_RNA from 1 species
UCAGCAGGCCGUCUCAUCGCUGGGGAUCGUAAUCUUCAGAGGAAAGUCCGGACACCAUAGGGCAGCAUAGCGGCUAACCGCCGUCAUCCCGAUCUAUCGGGAUAGGACCAGUGCAACAGAAAGCAAGUACAGGUAAGGCUGUAGUGAAAUCAGGUAAACUCUAUGCGGUGCAAUGCCAUGUAUACCCGCUGUUAAGUGCGGCUCGUGCGUGCGGGAGGGUAGGCAGCUCGAUCGUAUUAGCAAUAAUACGGCUAGAUAAAUGAUGAGAAUCUGCCUCGGCAGAUACAGAAUCCGGCUUAUAGGCCUGCUUUUUUU